rnacentral:pre_miRNA from 2 species
GAUGGAGAAGCAGGGCACGUGCAUUACUAACUCAUCCCUUAGCCCACAUAUAUACACAGUAACACACUCUCCCCAAAUGCAUGUAUAUGAGAGAGAUGUGUGUGGAGUGUGAUGAUACUUGAGUUAGUUCUUCAUGUGCCCAUCUUCCCCAUC